CUUUUGUUAAAGUGUUCUUUAGCUGGUAUAAAGACGUAGGCACGUGACUAAUUUCUUACUCAAGAUUGGAUAAUUGCUUCAUGAAUUAUUAACGAGUUUUUGAAAUCGUUAGAAAUAGUUAUUUUAAACUUUUUAAUAUCUGUCUUUUUGACUGUAGUUUUUUUGACUUGUUAAUGAACUGAAUAAAAACCUUAUUGCAUGCAAAUAUGAAAUGUUUAAAAAAAGAAACUUUUUGAUCAUUUAGUUAAUAUAUAAUAUGAUCCAAUGUCCUUUAAUUGGCAAACGAGAAUAAAAGUUGAUUAGAGUUGCAGCUCUCUUAAACUGUCAUCAAACAUCGAGUAUGGUCAACUCUCAUCAACUUUAAGCAGGCUCAACUAUUUUGAGGACACUAAACGUAGAUAUAAGCGGCAAUAAGUUAAACAAUGCUCGAUCUAAUACGUACGGUGACAGUAAAAACAAAUUAAAGCUGUUUUCAAGAAGUUUUUCAAAAAGGGUUUUUCUGUCACUCCCACACUUUGUACUACAAUCAUUUUCAAAUGUGUUGAGACAGAUGCCCCAACUACAUAUUAUUUUUGGAAAACUUCGACCCCCUCCUGUUCAAUGUUAGGUCUCAGUUAGCAUCUUACUUUGGUGUGCUAUAAUGUCUGGAAUUCGGUGAACAACAUUGAAUGAGGGAGGAGAGGGACGGGAGAUAAAAAUGCUUGUAAUAAAUUGCAUUUAUCCGCUGAUGAUCUAAAACCAAAAACAACUUUUUUGAAAAUGAUUGUAGGCUUUAGACAUUACUUAACUUGUCUUAAAGUUCGCAUGUUAACUUGUGAAUGCUGAAUAGUAGUACAGUAUCGAAUACAAUUACAUACAUUCUUGUAUUGUAACAAAAUUGUAACAAAAUGAGGGGUCGGUCACGGCAGAAAUCUCGCGUACACUCCACUCAGAACUCAGGUUAAAAACCAUGCAGAAAUUUUAAUUAAUUAACUGAGUAGAAAUCACAUGAUUUUGAAAUCAUACAGAAAACACGUAAGUUCUUACAAAAGGCUAAACAUAUCACCAUAUAGCAAGAACAAGCUUGUUUCACUUUUGCGUAUUUCAGAGCGGAUAUUUCAUAACUAAAACAGUAUUUUGUUCUCAAUGUUUUAAACGUAUUUUUAGGCAUUGAAAUGUACCAAAAAUGUUGUAAUUGGUAUCUUCAGGAAAUGUUGAAAUCAGCCGAAGUUCAGGAAAUCAGCUCACAAAUAAACUUGAUUUCAAAAUCUCGUACGCUCUCAACUGCCAUGACGGACCCCUCUGAGUAAAGGCAUGCAUUACGAAAUCAUUAUUUGUUUAUCAACAGUAGCUUAUUUUUGAGUUCGUCAUAGAGGUUGUUUAUAUGAGUCUGGCUUGCUGGUUGACCCGGUUUAACGAAGCAUUCGCCUUCACACAUAUUUUCUUUACGAAACAAUGAAAACUGGACCAGUCCGCGCGUUUAACCUGGACAUCAUGGGCUGAAAUUUAUAUCCAUGCAAAGUCCUUCAGCCGGGCUAGCAAAAAACAUUGUUAGGCUUGAAAAAAAUUUUUUUUUGAAUUGAUGUUUCUCGACAAAUUUUGAUUUCGUAGAUUUUACUCGACAAAAUUUGUUUAAGUAGUUUUAAAUGGGAAUUUUGUGCAGGAAAAAAGAAUGAAUUCGACUUUUGUGACAAACCUUGCACUAUUAAACUCAUCAACGAGUUUUUCUUGUCAAUUUUGGUUUGUUGAAGUCUUAAACCUGGAUCAACCGAGCAUGAGAGUUGGCAGUCACGUGACCUUGGUUAGCUGUUCUUAAUGCUUUCCCAACAUUAUCAUGUAUUCUAUUGAAGUUAAAACAUAGUUGAAACACUCAAGAAAUCUACAUUUUGUUAAUCUAGACCUUGAAAUGUCGAGUGUAACAAUUCGUGACUGCUAGCUCUCAUCAACUUUCAUUUUCGUUUGACCGGGGGCUUUAGCCCGGCUAAUAUAGGGCCAGACCGCACGUCUCAUAUAAACAGCCCCUCAGAGACCCUUGCGAUGUAGAACGACAACUCCAGAAGACGACGGCUAUUCAUACAAUUGAAAUUCAUAAGAUUUUGGAAAAGAAUGAAUAAUCAUUAACCACAGAUUUUUGCGGUACUCAGGAAAUGAAUUGCUCAGUAAAGAACUAUUCUCAACCAUAAAUCCGUUUAGCUGUACUAAAUUCAUUCGAUUGAUAAUACACGACAAAAUUUUCUUCACAAUUUCUCCUUUGAAUGAGUUUGUGUUGGCUCAGUGUUGCCUUCGCGUUGACAUACUACAUCGUUUGAGGCAUUUUUAUAAUGAGUUUGGCAACCAACAACGGCGACGGUAGGAAACAAAAUUACUUAUACUUUUGUAUUCGAGCAAAAACAUACAUUACUAAACUUUUAAAAGCACUUAUAUUUUUAAUUCCCUGAAGUAGCAAUAGAAAGUGAAUUCACAUAAAACACCGCAAACGACUUGAACAUUUUACUGUGUUGGCGUGGUCAUGAGCCGUGAAAAUGAUGUAAAUAACGUAGCAGUUUGAACAACUACGGCGUACUAGAAUGCUUAAGGAUGCAAAUUAUAGUCGCCUUUGUCUUAGAGUAAAGAUGCUGUUGUUGAAGAUCACGUUCUUGUUGCCGUUGUAUUUGCCAAACUCUUUUUUGUCUAACUCGCGACAGUGUUGACUGAAUGAAAUCAGUACAUUAAACAUUUAUCGGUUAUUUAAUUAUUAUUUCUAUCCGUUAUUUCUCGUUUAUAUAAGUUUACUCGAUGUUUGAUCAACUAUACACGAUGUUCUUAUAUCAUUUUCGGCCGGCUUUAAGCUUGUGUUUUAGUAAAAUUGAUGUUACCAUUAUCGCCGGGUUUUAUUGACCAACUCCAAAACUAGCUAGCACAAUUUUUCAUUAUUUUAUAUUUUAUGCCUUUGUACAUUGUUACCUCUUAUUCAAGGUAAGAUGGUAAAAGUUUAAAAUUGAUAUUAUGAAAACAUGCAAGUGAAAUGAAAUUAUAUAUCUUAUAUGCCUUUGAACCGUGCGAAAAAAAGUAUACGAACGUGGCUGGUCAGUCGUUUUGGCUAAAUCUAUAGCAUGAACGUCGGCACUUCUAACAUUUAAUUUCUGAAAAAGGGAUACAUUCAUACUUUGCAAAACUGUCAGUCCUAAAAUAUUCUGUAAGGCGGAAGUGAUUACCUUGCUUGAAAUUAAUUUUGGAAGAAAAAAGAAUGACAACUAUUUUUCGAAUCGGUCUAUUGUUAUUGGUAAUUAAGAUUUAGGUAUUAAUAUUAAUUGUUACGAUUUUUAUUUUUACGAUAAUUGUUAUAAUUAAGAAUUGUAGACAUGUGAAAAUGAUGUAUUUGUAAAGACUCACUCGAAGAUGUGUGCAGGAUUGUGUGGUAUAUGCAUGAGGAUUGUAUAGCUAUAUGGAUUUUCGAUGCGAUUUCAAGACUUUCACAAUCAAUGACACAAAUUUCCAUUGCUGCAUGCAAGGAUUUCCAGGUCUGGUACCAAAACUUUUGUUACUUUUUGUCUGCAUGAUGAAAUGCUUUCAAGAAAUUUAUGUUUGUUUAUAUAUGAAGUAUAGUCUGUGAUCUAUAAAGCGUCAUGCAGUUCAUGUAACUAUAUAGCAUCAAUCGUUUGAAGCUAGCUUUUUAACCGUUCAUGAUGGAUUCCUUCUUAAAGUAAAGCGGAAAUCCACAAGGAUCUCAAGAUAUUAACAUACGAACAAUGCUCUGAUUAUCACCUUCUUCAAAACUAAAAAAAAAACUUAUCAAAAGUUAGUGUCAGACAACAUAUCAACAAGAUGAAAUAUAUGCACAACAUUCAGUUUUUUCGUACUCAGUAUAUAUAAACCCCAUCUAUUUCAAAUAGUUUUUACUAAGUGAGUUAAGGAAUGGACACGAAAUUAAUAUGGCGUCUAGGUUCUGUUGGUUGGACACAAUGCCUUUUAAGUUCCUCUCUAGCAAUACUUCUUACGACUCGAUCACCAUUCGUAUGGACGAGAAAUCUGGACUUAAUUGUCUCUCAAAAUGUCCUUGAUCCAUUCUUUUUGCUGUCCAGUUGUUAUGCAUCUUUAUAAUCAUUAUCGAGCUUUUCUGUGGCAAGCAGUGAGAUGAUGUUUCUUUUUUUGUUUCCAGCCUUUCACAUGCACCAUACAGUCUCUGAAAACGUCCUUUUGGCGGCUCAAAUGAAGAUCUCUACUGUGCCCAUUAGAUUUUGCAUCUCUACCAGAAGCAGUUUGGAGCUGUAAGCUUUACUUUUUCUCGCUCUCUUUUGUGUAGAUUUUAUUUUUUCAUAGGGAUCAUGAGACUUCCAUUCUUGCUUCCAGUCUAUACCUCCUCCUAGCGUAUGGCGAUGAAACUUGGUUGGAUGCAGCGAACUCUAUAGCGGUAGAGUUUGCUGCUUUCGUUGCGAAAAGCCUUCCUGGGACAAUGCUAACCCCAUUCCUCAACGUUCUGGACUGAUUCUCUGAUUUGCAUGGGUCGAUGGUUUCACAUCUUAUUUCAGUUCUUUUUGACAAAUGAAGAUCUUUCUGUUGGAACUGCAAACAUUGCUACAUUUGAUAUGACAGUUAAAUAAGUCGAAAUUUCUUGCAGAGAUUGUUCUAUAUUCAAAUGAUUAUUUAUUUUUAUAUCUAUGCGCAUAUGUCAAGAAAAAAUGUUAGCGCAAGAUAUUGCUUAUACUUUAUGUGGAUUUCUAACUUGAGCAGUUCUUUUUGCCUCUUUUUAACCGUUUAUGAUGGAUCCCUUUUCAACGCAAAGCGGUAAUACACAAGGAUAUAUCAGCAUAUCAAUAUACGACGCCAAAAUAGCAGAAGGUUAUUUACUUUCAUCCGUCUUUCCAUGUGUGUGUCUGUGAGCACGAUAAGUUAACAAAUGUCAAAUGUAUUAACACGAAAAUUUGUGGGACUAAUGGACAUUGAUCAAGGACAAAAUGAUUAAAUUUUGGUUAAAUAUGGAUGAAAAUUGGAUGAGAAAUUAGCAAAAGUUCGUCUUGUUUUGCCGGGCAGAGUAAACUGAAUGCAUAAUU
rnacentral:lncRNA from 1 species